UCUGGUGGUUAGAGCGAGGUGGCACCACCCGUUCCCAUCCCGAACACGGAAGUGAAACGCCUUAGCGCCGACGAUACUGAGAGAGUAGUCUCUUGUGGAAAAUAUGCCACUGCCAGAG
rnacentral:rRNA from 1 species